AGAGUGUAAUCUCCCAAACUUCCCUAAUUAUGAAGUUUCGGUGGGAACUAGCUUAAAAAGCUAUUAAAUAAGUUCCAGCGAAGUUUGGGGAGCAUUCGAAUGUUUUCGGCACGAAUUAGACUUGAAAACGGAAUCGAAAAGCUAAACUCUGCCUAAGUUGCAGAAUUUGUGCUGAGUACCGGUACUGGAAUCGGGUACCGGUACUGGACUAGUUAGGUACUGGUACUGGAAUCGGGUACCGGUACGCAGUGGUAAAAUGAAAAAAUCUAGCUCUCGGGUUUUGAAGUACUGGAGCAGGGUACCGGUACACGAACCCGACUACCGGUACUCAGCCUCCCAGAAUGCUGAUUUUGAUGGGUAAAAGUGUAAUUUCACUAGGGGCUUAUAUAAAUAGGUGCCCAUCGCUUUUCCUCAGCAGAGAACACACACACGCAUACUUAGAGAGAGAGAGAGAGAGAGGAGCUCAUCCCCCUCACACUCUUCUUCCUCCUCUCUGACUCGGCGAUCUUGGUGGAGAUCAGACUCGGGAAGCUUGGAGAAGUGGUGGUUCGAGCACUCGGGCGCUUGGAGGCUCGGUGUGUUUCCGACUCGAGGUUCAUUUUAGGGUUUGAGCUAGGGUUUUGGGUUUAAACCUUCUAAAUGGGUUUCUAGCAAACCCUAGGCUAAUCUAAGCUAUAAAUUGUAGAGAUUAGCAUGUGAUUUUUGAGUUUGCCAUUAUUUGUGGAAAACCCUAGGUUAGAAAGAGGGGUUUGUUAGUGGAGGGUUUAAAAAUUAUUUUAACCCUUUGAAACUCUAAUUGAGGGUUAGGAAAUCAUAUGAGGCUAUUUGAUUUCAAGUAGAGAAAUUAUUUAGUGGUUCGAAAAUGGUAACGAGUGGAUCUCUUGUAUAGAGCAAGGAAAGCUUGGAAGCAAGCUUGGAGAUCCAAGUGUUGGCCUAAUUGCAAGUGUCUACAAACAAUUAGGAGGCUUGAAAGGUUGGUUAUGCUUCACCGAAGUGACUAGGUCGCUUCCAUGCCAAAGUGAAAGUAUGAUUUUGUUUAUUGAUGCAUACAUGUAAUGAUAGAUUAAUUGGUUAAAUAAGUAGAUAUAGAUGACAUGCUAUUUAGGGUAAAUUAUCUAUCAUUAGACAAGAACAUGAGCAUGUGGAACAUAUAGGAUAUGUAUAUGUAUGCCUAGAUGCGGUUAGUAAACAUAGGUUGAUGAACUCUAGGAAGAUUAGAGAACUCGACAAGUAUAAAACAAGGACUAGAUGUAAUGAAUCCUAGAUAUGGACAACUAGGAUAAUGAGUGGCAUGGUUGGACAUUGAACCUAGUGUUAUUGAACAUAGGUUGGACAUUGAAUCUAGUGUUAUUGAACAUAGGUUGGACAUUGGACCUAGUGUUGUAGAACCUAGGUUAUGAAGCAUAGUGGUAGGAUAACCACUAGGGUAUGAAUGACUUGAACCUAGAAAGAUUGACAAUAUAGGGUAUGAGAUGAACCCUUAAGUUUUGGAAAGUGGAUUCCGGAAUCCCUAGGAUUGUUGGCUGCGAGUAUGUAUGGUUCUCCUCGCUCGGCAGCAGUUUAUACUUGUGGGUACGUGUGGUUCUCCUCGCCCGGCAAGUGAAUCAUAACUGUGGGUAUGUGUGGCUCUCCUCGCCCGGCAGUCAUUCAACGGGUAUGUGUGGUUCUCCUCGCCCGGUAUGCGACUCGUGGUCAAGGGUAUGUUGGUAUUUCCUCGCUCGACGAAUGACCUAUAGUCGAGUGGAUUUAAGGCUGAGAUGCAUGUGAGACGUCCUUCACCUCGAGCCUGGACAAUGAGCGGUAGUCUGCUGGUAAUUGACUCAAGACUGAGUCCGGUGGUAUAGCUUGGCUAAGGUAAAUGAACCUUNCCCGGUAUGCGACUCGUGGUCAAGGGUAUGUUGGUAUUUCCUCGCUCGACGAAUGACCUAUAGUCGAGUGGAUUUAAGGCUGAGAUGCAUGUGAGACGUCCUUCACCUCGAGCCUGGACAAUGAGCGGUAGUCUGCUGGUAAUUGACUCAAGACUGAGUCCGGUGGUAUAGCUUGGCUAAGGUAAAUGAACCUUAGAAGUGGAUUGUAAAAAAUAUGAGUAGUGAAAUAAAAAGUAGAAACGGUAGAUCUACUUAUAUUGCAUUUAUGUUGUAUUAUCGCAUGUUGUGAGGCAUAAGCAUGUUAGUUAUUAGUUGCAUAAAUUUAUAUGUUUACAUAUAUAUACCUUUUGGAUUAACCUACUUAUCUUGCCUCCUUUGACCUGGUGGGUCGAGCUCUUCCCUUGGGUGGCCGUACCGAUUGGAAACUAUAUUUAUAGUUCUCACCCCACAUUUUUUAGGUCCACCCGUGAGUGGCGCGGCGGCGCGAGGAAAAGGCGUAGCUCGGUAGAUAGCGCCCUACCAUUGAGACCAGAGAUAGAAGUACCCCGAGUCAGCAUAGCUCAGGGGUAUAGGGAAAGAAAAGAAUGAAACAAAAUUUGUAAUAAGUUUGGUUGUAUUUGGAAGUUGAAUGUAAAUGUAAAUGUAAAAAUUGAGACGAAUGCUUGUUAUAGCUUAGUGGUUACUAGCGUAGGAACCCGCGCGAUGCGGCGUGUAGAAAUAUUUUAGUAAAAAUUUACAGUCUAUAGAUUUAAUAAACAAAUAAAAACGUUAAAAAGAAACAGAAAAAAUAUUUAAAAUAUUAUGAAGGGUAAUAAAUAAUGAAAGAAAAACUAAAGAGGCUCAAAUUCACAUUUAACUAAUCAUAUAAAGAUAUUUAUCUAUCCUAUCAUCUUUUCUAGUUCAAAUUAGAUUUCUCUUAAAAGCCAAUUAUUAUUGCAUUUGUCUAUGGACAUUCAAAUUGUCAUGCCAUCAAAAAAUUAGUACGAAAUGUAAAGAAAUAAAAGAAAAAGUAUGAAGGAAUAUAUAAUAGUCAUACAAAUAAAUUUAAAAAUAAUAAUAGUUAGUUUUUAACUACCGUUAAAUUGUAAAAGCCUACCUUUCAUAUAUCUAUAAGCCAACAAUCUAUAUACUAUGUUAGUUUGUUGAUGUAAAUGCUAAUUUAAUCAGUUUUAUUUUUUAUAAUUUUACUCCAUCAAUUUUUGUGUAACUCAAAUGACUUAUUCAUGAACAGUAAUAUGCAACAAAAAAAAAAGAGAGAAAUAAUACAUAUUCAUCCCACAUAGAAGGAGAGGAAUCCGUAUUAGCAGCUUCAAUUAGACAAUUCGAAAGUCCCAUCCGACGACUUCCAUUUUGCCGUUUCGUAUCGAAAAAAACCCCCCAAUAUCAUCUAUGGUCUUCUCGAAAGAGGACAUAGGAGGGCUUUAGACCAAGAACAGUCUCUUUCUUUUUAUAUAAAUAAAUAAAAUAAGGAAGAGCUUUUCCCCAAGAGGAAAGAGCAAGAAUUUCGGGAUGCUAUUGGCUAUGAUAAGAGUAAAAAGACUCACUUUCUAAAGCAAAGCUUUCUAUCCUCCUUUAGGCUAUCGAUGAAGCUUUAGUAACUAAGAGGUCUUGGCUUUUAAUUAUUACAUGCAUACCACUAUUUAUUUGGGAGUUUGGUAACUAAGAGGUCAUGACUUUUAUUACAUGCAUACCACUAUUCUGUAUUUGGGAGAUGAGGAGGGAGGGGUUUUGGAAGAUGAGGGGUUUCGGGGGUUGGGAGGUGAGAGGGGAGUAGUUUUGAGAGAUGAGGAGGUAGCAGUUUUAGGGGUUCAUUUAGUUUUAUUUCUUUUAUGUUAUAUGCAUGGAGUUACAAGCAUAUAUUUAUAUUUCUUGUUGUAGUGUAUAUAUAUUGCUUUGAAAUGUUAUAACUCUUUUUAGUUAUACGUAGAAGAUGGUUUUUAAGAAUUAACAAUAAAUUAAGAUAUUAACAUUUUAAUUAACAAUAAAUUCAGAUAAUAAACCACCAUUAAAAAAUAUAAAAAAUCUAAAAAUAGGAGAGCUUGCCAUGUCAUCAUUUUUAUUGGGGAUUCAUAUAGAGUUAUAGAUGUUUUUGAUACAUUCCUUAUGCAAUCCAUGUAUGAAUUCUUUUCCUGUUUGGAACCCGUGAAUUGUACUGAACUCCGCUAUAGGCAAGAAAUCAUGCCAUCCUCCUUUGUAAUCUAGCACACACGCUCGAAGCAAGUCCUCGAGGAUUUGUAUUGUCCGCUCCGACUGUCCAUCACUCUGAGGAUGAAACGCUGUGCUAAAGUCGAGUCGCGUGCCUAGCGCGUCUUGCAAGCUCUUCCAAAAAUGGGAUGUGAACCUGGGGUCUCGAUCCGAUACGAUUGAUACCGAAACCCUAUGAAGUCUCACAACUUCGUCGAGGUAGACUUGAGCUAACUUGUCUCCCGACCAUGUAGUAUGUACUGGCAAAAAGUGUGCCGACUUUGUCAGUCGAUCCACUAUCACCCAUAUCGCAUCGUGUCCGCCUUGUGACCGAGGCAAACCGGUAACAAAGUCCAUUGCUAUGUCUUUCCAUUUCCAAACGGGUAUUGGUAGACUUUGUAGCUUUCCCGCCGAAAAUCGGCGCUCUGCUUUGACUUGUUAGCACGUUAAACAUUGUGCCACGAACUCCCCAAUAUCUCUUUUCAUACCCGGCCACCAAUAAUGCUCCUUCAAGUCUUUGUACAUUUUAGUGCCGCCGGGGUGUAUGCUAUAGGGAAAUUGAUGCGCCUCUUGCAUGAUCGCCCUUCGCAACUCAUCAUCUUUAGGCACGCACCAUCGAUUUCGAAAUCGAAGCACGCCGUCAGCUCCAAUGCCAAAGUCUUCGGCAUUGCCAUUCUCAACUUCACUCCGCACCCUUUGAAGAUAAGGGUCCGAAGUUUGAAGAUCCUUGAUUCUUUCCAAUAGGGUCGGUUGCACAACUAACGCGGCAAGUGUAGCCGGCACUUCCGGCGCUACCACUUCCAACCCAAAUCGUUGCAUCUCCUUUUGUAACAGCGGUUGAGGCGUAAUUGCCGUCGCCAAGUUCUCCGCCGACUUUCUACUUAGAGCAUCGACCACGACAUUGGCUUUCCCGGGGUGGUAUAGUAUAGUGACAUCGUAGUCCUUUAACAACUCCAACCACCGCCGCUGCCGCAUGUUCAAUUCCUUCUGGGUGAACAAGUACUUUAAACUCUUGUGAUCGAUGUAUACCUCACAAUGUUCACCGUACAAGUAAUGCCUCCAAAGCUUUAGCGCGAAGAUCACCGCAGCUAACUCGAGGUCGUGAAUCAGGUAGUCUUUCUGAAACUCUUUAAUUGGCGCGAUGCAUAUGCAAUGACUCGCCCAUUUUGCAUUAGUACACACCCGAGACCAACAUAAGAGGCAUCACUAUACACUACAAAAGUCUCCCCCGGAGUCGGCAAGGCAAGCACCGGGGUCGACGUCAAUCUGCUCUUUAAUUCCUCGAAGCUUCGAUCGCAAUCGUCGCUCCACACGUAUCUUACUCCUUUAUGCGUAAGGCGCGUUAGUGGAGUGGUUAUUUUGGCGAACCCCUCCACGAACCGCCGGUAGUAGCCCGCAAGUCUAAGAAAACUGCGGACCUCCGCUACAUUCGUCGGACGAGGCCAACCCUUUAUUGCCUCUACUUUCUUCGUGUCUACCGAAACUCCAUCGCCCGACACUACAUGGCCCAAGAAUGUGACCUCCUUUAGCCAAAAGUCACACUUCUUCAACUUCGCAUAGAGCUUCUCCUGUCUAAGUAUUUGCAACAUCGCUCUCAGAUGCUUUUCAUGCUCCUCUUCACUUUUCGAGUAGACCAAUACGUCGUCUAUAAACACCACGACGCAUCGAUCCAACAAAGGCCUGAAGACUCGAUUCAUUAAGUCCAUAAAUGCUGCCGGGGCGUUAGUAAGCCCAAACGGCAUUACCGUGAACUCAUAAUGGCCAUACCGCGUACGGUACGCCGUUUUGUGCACAUCCUUCGGCCUGAUCUUUAAUUGAUGCUACCCCGACUGGAGAUCAAUCUUCGAAUACACCUUGGACCCUUGCAACUGAUCGAAUAGAUCGUCAAUUCUCGGCAAUGGGUACUUGUUCUUUAUCGUCACUUUGUUCAACUCGCGAUAAUCUACGCAUAGUCGAAGUGUGCCAUCCUUUUUCUUCACAAAUAGCACUGGAGCUCCCCACGGUGACACACUCAGCCUCACAAAGCCUUUAUCGAGCAAGUCUUGCAGUUGGCCUUUAAGCUCCUUUAACUCUACCGGUGCCAUUCUAUACGGACCCUUCGAAACUGGUUCUGCCCCGGGAAUCAAGUCAAUAACGAACUCAACUUCCCGGUCCGGUGGCAGUCCCGGUAACUCCGCCGGAAACACAUCCGGAAACUCGCACGCUACUCGGAUAUUCCCCAACUCUGGGUACUCCUUUCGAGCAUCUACCAUGGUUGCCAAAUAGGCCUUACACCCUCCUUUGAUCAUUUUCUUCGCCCUCACAGACGAUAUAGUCGCCGCGAAGCGCCUACUUUUGCACGCUUGGUAGACUAACUCUUCUUGAUUAGGCUCACGAAAAGUGAUCACCUUGCUUUCACAAUCUAUCACCGCAUAGUACUUGGAGAGCCAGUUGGUCCCCAAGAUAACAUCGAAUCCCCACAUCUGAUCUAGCACUAGCAGAUCAAUCGGCAUAAUCCAAUCGCCUAUUUGCACUGGACACGCCAAACACUCGUUAUGGACACUGAAUGAAUGCUCUGGAGCGUUCACCCACCAGUAAUCCUCAUUGUAUACCAUCUCUAUGCCAUGUGUUUUAGCAAAUGAAGUGCUAAUGAAUGAAUGAGAUGCGCCUGUGUCAAACACUGCUCUAGCUCUAGUGCCUUUAAUCACAAUUAUACCUGCCACGACGUCGUCGGGUGCUGCAGGUUGCUGCUCCUCCACCUGAGCGGCAAAGACUCGGCCGCUAGGCGCUCUCGAUCCCUCCGGCUGACGCGGUGAUGACGCGCGCCCAGCCGACAUUGCUGGUGGUAACCCCGCAAGCUGUCUCGGGGUAGAUGGUGCUGAUGCCGCCAUCGGCGCAGACGGCGUCCAUGUCGGGCACUCCCGGAUAAGAUGUCCCGGUUGGCCACACUUGAAACAUUUGCCGUCUCGCUGCGGGCAAGUCGACACCUUGUGCUCACUGCCACAAAUGACACAUCGAGGAGGUCUCCAGUUCCUCGACUGCUGUCUGGGAUACCGAGGGGGUUUCUUAACAUUUGGCCUGCCCCCGGCACCGCCUGCCAUUCUCUUCUUGCCCUUGUCUUUAGACUCGGCCAUAGCUUCUUGUUCUUCACGUACAUGGGCGCUACCGUGUUCCGCCCACAAAGCUCUAUCAAAGACCUCCGCAAAAGGUCGACAGCUUCAGGAUUUGCACUUUCUCAUAAAUUCGGGGCUGGAGUCCUCGCAAGAACCAAUCCGCCCGGUCCCGAUCAUCACGAACAACGUCGGGAACACAGUCGAUGAUGUGAGAGAAUUCUUGCUCAUACUCUCCCAUCGAUCGAUCGCCCUGUCUCAACUUGCUGAACUUUUCUUGCAACUUCCGCUUCACCGUGUUGGGGAAGUAGUUCGCGAACACCUCUCUCUUGAACUCCUCCCAUAGCAUAAGCGGAAGAUCGGCAGGUCGAUCCCACUUCACUCGUUUCCACCACACCAUCGCCGCCUUCCCUAGACAAUGGGUGGCGAGGUACACUUUGUCUUUCUCCGAGGUAUUGAGGUCCUCGAAGAGUGUCUCCAUUGAGUCGAUCCACGACUCCAUGACCGUCGGCUCUACCAAUCCGCCCUCGAAGGUAGGUCGGUCAAACUUCUUGAAUUGUAUAAGCGCCGCCAGUGUGCGCUCUCGCUCUGCAUCAACUGUCGCACCAUCGGGGUUUGAGGUUCCCGAUCCGGCCGGUACUACUGUAACUGGAACAGCCGCUGCUACCGCUGCUUCCUCGUCCACGCUCGGCACUACCACAGGGGGCGCGACAUGCUCGACACCCGCCUGGGCCGCCGCCUGCUGACGCUCCAAGGCCUCAUGGAGCCGCUGAAUCUGCUCCCCUUGGCGUUGGACAGACUCCGCUUGCUGCCGCACUACGCCAAUGAGCGCGGCCAUCUGCUCCCUAAGCUCCCCGUCGCCACUAGCUCCGGAUCGCUCGGGCUACGUACCCAGCUCCUCUGGCAUUGACCUUGUCUGCGAUCGACGUCGAGGUGCCAUUGCUUCCUGAAAAGGAGCAACUCGCAUUAGCUACUUGACAAACAUUACUUGACCAUACCCAAUUCGACGAAAGCAACAUGCACAUUCAUCCUUGCUUCAAGCGUCAUGUCGUCGGCCGCCCGACACAACACUAGAAGUAGAGGACAAACGAAAUUUAAACUUAGCCUCUAAUCACAUUAGAGACGUCCCAACUUAACCCAAUCAUAUGCUUUCGCUAACUUUGAUCCCACGUCACUCACGUUCCCUAGAUCCUUAAGGCCUUCCAAUCCUAAGGGUCUCUAGGUCCAUUCCUAUUCUUUCACUCUUGUCUCUGAUACCACGCUAUCUGUCACGCCCUGGGACCGAUACCAAUUUGGGCCAGCCCGAGCACGUCAAACAGACGCCGAACGGACAGAGUUUCCCCUGUCCGCCCAAGGCUCAUCACAUGUACAUUUUCAUCAAUAGAGAAAAGCACUAGCGGAAACAUACACAAACGGCUUACACGAGGGUAAGCAAUAGCCAUUAGUGAAAGAAAAAGGAAACUAAACAUUCACUUGUACUAUGAUUCAUUUUUGAUCAUAUACAUUGCAUUCAUCUUGUACCUUUUUGAAUUCUUACAUUCAUUACAUCAUUUCUUUCUUACAUCACAUUUACCUCAAAAAGGUGCUUUACAUUCUUUCUUUACAUCACUAAUCAUCAAGUUCAAAAGAUGAUAAAAGGGUAAUUACUAACGAAAUAUAAACCCAACUCUGGUGGCCUCUGACUAAGGCGCGAUAUCUUUACCUCGGUCGCUCGCCGGCUCGCUCGGUCCCGGCUCUGUGGAAAUAGUGGGGUGAGAACUACAACAAAGUUUCCAGUGGGUUCGGCCUCAACAUCACCGACUUUCCCACUAGGACUAACUCAGGCAUAAUAGAAAGGAUAAGCUGUAUAUAGUAACCAAUCUAUAACAUGAUGCUAAUAUGCCUGAACAAUAAGCAGGAAAUAUGCUCAACAUUAAACAUAUACAGAUUAUGCAAGUUCUUUCGUUCUUUACACUUUACAAUUUACAAUUUGUUCUUUGUUCUUUGCUCUUUGUUCUUUACUUUUUGUUCUUUAAUCUCAAGGCUAAUCCGGGGGUUUCGCCACAUUAACUUGCUCACAUUAAGUCCAUCAUUGCAGGAACUCACCCGCUAGGACCGUUCUUCGGGUUUACUCCAACCCAUGAUGCAUAACUCCGGAGCGCAUCGCCUGAUGGGGAGCGACCGCCCUCGAGCACGGAACUCAUAGCAAGUAUGAUCGAAUCCUUAACUCAAAGGAUUGUAUGUUCAAUCGUGACUUUACACUAACUCUAGUGUUCUUUACAUCACUUUAUGUUGCCACUCUAGCAAUCAUGUUCUUUACUUUUGUUUACCUUUGCUAACUCUAGUAAUCACGUUCUUUACAUUUCCUUACUUUUGGCUAUCUUUAGCAUUCUUGUUCUUUACACCCCACUUUAUUUUCACUUAAAUCAUUAGCAUUAUUCUUUACAUCACAUUGAUUCUUUGCCUUACACUAGCUCUAGUGUCUCUUUACGUUGCACUAUCAAAUGCCACUCGAUCUAUGUCAUGUGUCACUCUGUUCUUUUGACUCACUUUGGUUCUCACAUUUCACCUCAUGCACACAUUUAGGGUUUUUGACAUUCAUAAGGUUCUCAACCAUCACAUUAUGCAAGUUGUACUCACAAUCAUGCAACAUCACAUUAUUAUCAUUACUUAACCCUAACAUGCAUGCAACAACGUGUAAACAUAUGCUCAAUUGAAUGACACAUUAGGCAUAGAGGAAAGUUCAACAAGUUUGAGAAGCAUCACCGACCUCGUAGCUCUCAAGGGUGCUCCGAUGAUUUUCUUGGGAUUUUUAGACUUCUCAUUCUUUACCUGUGGCAAAACGAAGCCAACUUAGGUUGCCCAUAACUUUACAUUGGCGUUUCGUAAUGCUAAUCCGAGCGCACCAACGCGUCGGAAAUACCCCCAAUUACGUUUCUAGAGGGUCAAUUUCACUUAGGAAUCCCCAUGAGCAAAAGCCCCAAUUUAGGUGCCCUAGCUCCAUUACAUGUAUCAAACCUAAGGUUUGAUCCCAAUGGGAAGCAAAAGUAGCUUCAAUAUACUCUAAAGAGUCCAUUAGAACCAUUCCUAACUCAUUCCAAACCCUAAUUUGGAUUUCACCAUGAGAGGGGAUGAAGCUCUCCUUCAAGCUUCACCUCCAAUACUAAACCCAUAGUCUUGAUCUCAAAUGAAGCAAAAGAAAAGCUUCAUAGACUCUAAAUAAUCCAUUAAAAUCAUUUCUAGGUUUAUUCAAAGCCCAUUUUAGGGUUUCACUACAAUAGGGUUCAAAGCUCACCUUGUAAGCUCUCCUUUUCCAAGCUAGAGAGGAAGAAGAUGAAGUUGCUUCACCUCUUGAUCUUCUUCUUCACCUUCUUUUCCUUCUUUUCCUUCCUUUCUUUCUUUCUUCUUCUUCUCCUUUGCCUUCUAGAGAGAGAGAGGGAGAGAAGAGAGUGUGUGUGAGGGAGAGAAUGAGAGAAAAGGCUCUCUCAGCCCUUAACACAACCCAUGGGUUGCAAAAAUGCAAAUAAACCCCUCAACUUUCAUCUUAUUCAACUGCCUGGACUGGGCAGUUUUCGGGCUCGGGGACCGGUCUCCCCGACUAGGGAUCGGUCUCCGAGAGCUCUCCAAGCGCAGCCAGAGUUGCUGCGCGCAAUGCGACCGGUCUCUCUCUGGGGGGACCGGUCUCUCGGGGAGGGACCGGUUCCUGAGAGCUGGUUUUCAGGGACUUAGCCUAUUUUUCGGCUGUCUCAUUUCUCACGCAUUCGGGGAUCGGUCUCUCCCACCAGGGACUGGUCCCUGAGAGCUGAAAAUCUGCAGUUUGUAGAAUUUUGAUUCUUAGCUCUCGAAAACCUUCCACAACUCUCUUUUGAUCAUUUUAACACCUUCGGACUUUCCGAAGUGUACCAUCCUCGCACUUUGGUCAAUUUGACUAAAGUUCGAUAUUUAUUUUCCGAUUUCUCGGUAUAUUACAUUGUGUUUGCUACCAGGUCACACAAAUAAUUGUGUUUAGUGGCAGCGGGUGACUUGUGGCAUGAGUCGGUGAGUUUCGAGACAGUUUGUGGGUCCCGGCGGAGUCCUAAUAUGAUUUUCGGAACUCUAGCGAGUUACGGUACUCGGUUUUGGGAAACCGACUUCCGUGGGUUUACAGGUGGGAAUGUGAGUUAGUGUUUCUUAUUUGUGGGUUAGAUACUAACCCGGCGGACCCUUCGUAGGUCCGGUUGACGUUCUUCUGCAGUCGGGAGACAGGUGCUAUGUACGUACAGGUGUGUACUUCGACCCGAAGUCGAUACACUCGGUGACAUCCUUUCCACCCUUCUCCUACUAUCACUUUGCAUUUUAUAUGUUGAGACUUGCACCUUUAUUAUCUCUUUAUUGCUCUACUCAGUUAGUUUACAUAUCUAGCAUCAUGAGUAGAAGUAGAGCAGGUUUGUGAUUAUAUGUGAGAUCUGUGACCUAGUCGGUCGGUUCUCUGUACUUUGUAUGGUGACCUAUUCGGUUGGUUCACUGCAUCUGAUAUUGUGACCUACUUGGUCGGUUUGACUACGUGGCGACCUACACGGUCGGUAUACCCUGAGGGGUCGAAUUGUCGGCUAGUGGCUGACGGCUAGUUCUGGAUUAUACAGAUGUAUGACGUGACAUCCUUGUGACUUAUUGUCGGUUCUUGUGCAUAUAUGUUAGUUGACAUUAAGUGGUCGGUACUUGUAUACCUUUGGAAGGAUGUUGAGUUGUUCCAUCCUAGUUGACUUGAGUGGUCGAUAUUUGUGUUCCUUACGGUUCGAUGACCUAUACGGUCGACAUACGCUGAGGGGUAGGAUUAUCGGCUAGUUGCCGACAGUUGGAUAUUGAGCAUAUCAGCACUGAUCGCCACUGCUCGUACGCAUUUCAUGAACACCAGCAGUCUGAUCCACCGUAAGAGGGUGUUUUUUUCCGGAAAAGUGGUUUGGAAUGCCAGCCUGUGAGCCCAAGAGCUUAUGCUGGGGUUAUAUGCUUUCAGACCCAAGAGCUUAUGCUGGGGUCAUAUACCUUUUGACCCAAGAGCUUAUGCUGGGGUCUGACCCAAGAGCUUAUGCUGGGGUCAUAUAUAGAUUAGAGCAAUUGUGGCACAGGCCUGAGGUGUGCGGACCAACAUGGCAGGUUUUUGAUUAGGUUACUUUUGGACUUGUCGUCCGGUUGAUGCAUGCAUACAGUAGCGGUAGUGAUUCAUAUAUAUAUUUCAUUUUCUUAUUUAUUAUUGCUAUUGUAUUACUGUUAUCUAUAGUUUCAGUUAUCCUUCGUGACUGGUGAGUACCCCUCGUCCUCGUCGGCUUGCGGUACCCACUGGUAGGGAAGACAUGUGUAUAUGUUCUCACCCCCCACCCCCUUUCAGGUGACGUUGUGGGUCCGAGUCUUGACGGUUCGUGAGGCGCGUACCUUGCGAUCGAUUAGAACUCUCGACCCAGUGGACUUUGGUUAAAUUUCUUAACUUGCCCUCUCAAAUAAUUCACCUAGAUAUUAUGGUUCAGUGGUUUACUUUAUUCAGAUACAUGUGGUUUUGUAAAUGUAAUAAAAUACUUACGAUUUUCUUAUGAGACGAAAACAGUUUCAUGACUUAAUGUUUCAAAAUGAGUUUUCGGGUAAAAAAUAUUUUAAACUAAUAGAUGUGGAUAUGUGAAUAAUUGUGAUGAGAUGAAUAUGGGUGUGAAUGGUGAAUGAAUAUGGAUGUUCAUGUGUGUGGUUGUAUCUUGAACUUGUGCGACGCCGUGCAAAUACAGGGGAGACUCUGUCCAUGUGAACAGUGGACUCCCUGUAAUUAUGGCGGAUCUGGCAUACCUGGGGUCAAGUUUUUUUUUUUUAAAAAAAUUGGGCACUUCCGCAUUGGUUAUAAAUCCAAAAGGGACCCUGGGGCGUGACAUCUCGUUGUGCGAUUUGCUCUAUACAUUUGAUUCUAGCCUUAGUGGCACAUUUAGAUUUGGAAUUGUUUCAGAUGGCUGUCAAGAUAGCUUUUCUCAAUGGAGGAUUAGCAAAAGAGAUUUUCGUGGAUCAACCUGAGGGUUUUGUACUCAAAGGUCAAGAAGACAAGGUUUGUCGUCUUAAAAGAUCCAUUUAUGGUCUCAAGCAGUCGUCGAGACAGUGGUAUUUCAGGUUUCAUGAAGCCAUCACCACUAUCGGUAUGUCCAUGAUAGAGGAGGACCACUGUGUAUAUGUCAAGAAAACAGAAAAGGACAUUCUGUUCUUUUCCCUAUAUGUUGGCGACAUACUAUUGGCUGGAAAUAACAUGGAAUUGAUCAACACCACUAAGGAGUNUAUGGUCUCAAGCAGUCGUCGAGACAGUGGUAUUUCAGGUUUCAUGAAGCCAUCACCACUAUCGGUAUGUCCAUGAUAGAGGAGGACCACUGUGUAUAUGUCAAGAAAACAGAAAAGGACAUUCUGUUCUUUUCCCUAUAUGUUGGCGACAUACUAUUGGCUGGAAAUAACAUGGAAUUGAUCAACACCACUAAGGAGUGGUUGUCUCUCAAUUUUGAAAUGAAAGAUAUGGGUGAGGCGAGCUAUGUGCUCGGAGUGAAGGUCAUCCAUAAUCGCUCUAGAAGACUUCUUGGUUUAUCUCACGAAUCUUAUAUUAAAAAGGCUCUAGAGCAUUUUAUAAUGAAUCAUUGUAAACCUGUUGACACUCUAGUGGAGAAGAAUCACAUUCUGAGUUUUGAUCAGUGCCCUAAAACGGAUAAAGAAAAGGAGCAAAUGAGUAGGGUUCCUUAUGCGAGUGUAAUUGACAGCUUGAUGUACGCUAUGAUGUGUAUACUCGACCUAACAUUUCCUUCGCUGUUGGUUUGGUAAGUCGUUGCUAGAUCAACCCAGGACCCAUUCAUUGGCAAGCGAUCAAGAGAAUCCUUCGAUAUUUAAAAGGAACAAGCAAUCUCGUUCUCUGCUUUCAAGCUGGAGACUUGAGAUUGAAAGGAUAUAGCAAUGCUGAUUGGAGCGAUGAUAGAGAUGAACACAAGUUCACUUCAGGCUAUAUGUUUAUGCUUGGAGACGAGACAAUUUUCUGGUGCAGUAAGAAGUAGAGCUGCAUUUCCUUGUCAACCAUAGAAGCAGAGUACGUUAUUGCUUGUUCAGCGGCCGUUCAAGAGGCUGUUUGGCUGAGGAGAUUUCUCCAGCACCUUGACAUCGUGACUCAUGCUAAUGAGCCUGCUGAGUUAUCCUCUGAUAGCAUGGCUGCCCUAGAGUAUGUGAAAGAUCGCAAGUAUCAUGGUAGGACCAAGCAUAUAGAUAUCCUGUCACGCCCCGAGCCCGCCUCUUUGGUCGGAUUCGGGCACGCCAACAGACCGCCGAACGGACAGGGUUUCCCCUACACGCGGACAGAGUCUCCCCUGUACAUUCAAGGCGUCGCAAUCAAUACAAUUACAAGAGGUUCCAAACAGGAACAAUUUUCAACAACGAUUGCAUAAGGAAGGUAUCAAACAACAUAACACAUCCUAUAUUAUUACAAUCAUUCAUCUCAUCAUUUUACAUCGCAUUUUUCAUUACAUUGAUUCUCAACUUCCAAAUAUACAAUCGAUUUCUUUUCUUUUCUUUUCUUAUACCCCUAAGGAGCCGACUCAGGGUGCUGCUAUCUGGUCUCUGUGGUAGGGCGCUAACUACGGAGCUACGCCCUUUCCUCGCGCCGCCGCGCCGCUCGCGUGUGAACCUGUACCCCCAAAAACAACAACACGGGGGUGAGACUAUUGUCCAUAGUCGUCAGUGGGUACAGCCACCCAAGGGAAAAGCUCAACCCACCAGGUCCAAAGGAGGCACUGCAACAUGUUAGUCCAACAGAUAUAUACAUAUAACAUCAUGCAAUACAUGUUCAUGCCUCACAAAUAUGCAAAUUAUGCAACUCUUAGUCAUUCUUUACCAUUAGCCUUUCUUUAGAAUUUGCUAUUCUUUAUCAUUAGCCAUUCUUUACUCUUUAUUCUUUAUUCUUUAUUCUUUAUUCUUUAUUCUUUAUUCUUUAUUCUUUAUUCUUUAUUCUUUAUUCUUUAUUCUUUAUUCUUUAUUCUUUAUUCUUUAUUCUUUAUUCUUUAUUCUUUAUUCUUUAUUCUUUAUUCUUUAUUCUUUAUUCUUUAUUCUUUAUUCUUUAUUCUUUAUUCUUUAUUCUUUAUUCUUUAUUCUUUAUUCUUUAUUCUUUAUUCUUUAUUCUUUAUUCUUUAUUCUUUAUUCUUUAUUCUUUAUUCUUUAUUCUUUAUUCUUUAUUCUUUAUUCUUUAUUCUUUAUUCUUUAUUCUUUAUUCUUUAUUCUUUAUUCUUUAUUCUUUAUUCUUUAUUCUUUAUUCUUUAUUCUUUAUUCUUUAUUCUUUAUUCUUUAUUCUUUAUUCUUUAUUCUUUAUUCUUUAUUCUUUAUUCUUUAUUCUUUAUUCUUUAUUCUUUAUUCUUUAUUCUUUAUUCUUUAUUCUUUAUUCUUUAUUCUUUAUUCUUUAUUCUUUAUUCUUUGCUAAGGGCACUCGCACCUUAGGCGCAUUAUACACAUUUGCCAUUCUUUAUAACAUUAACAAACGUUUCUCAAUUGUCAUUCUUUCUCAAUUGUCAUUCUUUCACAGGGUUACCUUUACCCUAGCCAACUAUGCCACUCGACUCGGUCUUGAGUCAAUUCAUAAUGAAUACAAGAUCCACUUUCCAAUUCAUGAUUCCUUUUUGUUCUUUGUUCUUUAAUCUCACGGCUAACCCGGGGGUUUCGCCACAUUAACUUGCUUCACAUUAAGUCCAUCAUCGCAGGAACUCACCAGCUAGGACCGUCCUUACGGGUCUACUCCAACCCGGAUGCCAAACUCCGGAGCGCAUCGCCCGAGGGGGAGCGACCGCCCUCGAGCACGGAACUCAUAGCAAGUAUGAUCAUAUCCUUAACUCAAAGGAUUUGUAGUUGAAUCAUGGCUUUACACUAACUUUAGUGUUCUUUACAUCACAUUAGUUGCUAACUCUAGCAAUCAUUGUUCUUUACACCCCACUUGUCAAUUACUCUAGUAAUUGUCAUUCUUGAUACCACACUUGUUCUUUUGUUGCCACACACUAACUCUAGUGUGCUUCAUGUCACAUUGGUUGCUAACUCUAGCCAUUAUCAUUGUUCUUUACACUUUGCUUGUUCUUUAUGCCACAUUACUUUACAUCGCCUUUAGCCAUUAUCAUUAUUCUUUACAUCACAUUGCUUUGCCUUGUCUCAAGCCAUUAUCAUUAGGUUCUCACAUUACAUCUCAUGCAUACACAUAGAUUAUUUAGAUUCUUAAUCAUUCUAAUAAGCACGUGUACUCACAUCAUGCAACAUUACAUUAUUAUCAUCACAUUGUUUUACAUUAUCUUUAGCCAUUAUCAUUAUUCUUUACAUCACAUUUAUUCUUUGUUGUCCCACACUAACUCUAGUGUCCACUUUACCAUUUCGAAUGCCACUCGAUCUAUGUUCAACAUGCAUAUAUUUUGUCAUCCAUUGGUAGUCAUUACUUAGCAUUUUAUGCAUUCGUUAACAUUUACUACAUGCAUUCUCGGUUAGUACAAAUCUCAUACUUUCAUUUGACAUCUAUUUAGCAUUUCUAUAAUAUGCACAUGUAAAUUAACAUCAACUCAUGCAUUCAUUUGGCAUCUAUCUUUAUCAUGCAUUCUUAAAUAGCAUACUUUAUCAUGCAUUCUCAAAUAGCAUACUUUAUCAUGCAUCAAUAGUAAACAUACUACACUUUGGCAUGGAAAGCGACCUAAUCGCUUCGGUGAGCACAACCCACCUCAAAACGCUUUCCGAUUGCUUGUCGACACUUGCAAUCGGCCUCCCGCGGCACCCGUAACCCGGUUUGGCCCGAACUCUUGCGCGACCACCCGAACGGCCACCAAUUCGCGAUCCGUCUGUUCGGGAGUUUAUUCCCCGACACCACGAUGCUCCCGAUCCAUUCUCAUGAUUUUUGGAGGCUUAUCCCGCGUGCUGCGGCUAUCUGUACCAAAACAGAUUGUUUCGUCAAUAACUUUGCGUACACUCGUCGGAUUGUCGAACCGAGCGCACCAACGCGUUCGUUAUACCCCCAAUUAGGUUUAUAGAGGGUCAAUUGAGAUCAAACUCAACUAUUUACAAAAACCCUCUUUAGGAGCCCUAAUAUGCAACUAUUGCAAAAUCCACCAUUUCAUCUCAUGAAUCAAGCAUAAACCAUCUAUUUAGCAUGCUAGGAUUCCAUUAAAAUCAUCUUUAGAGUAUAAGAACUUAACCCUAAAGAUCUACCAUUAGAGAGCAUAAGGCUUACCUCUCUAAGCUUGCUCCCAUGGCUCAAGGAAGGAGAUGAAGAUGAAGCUCCAUCUUCUUGGCCUCUUCUCCUUCAUCUUCUUCUUUUUCUUCUCUUUCUUUCUCUUCUUCUCCUUCUUUUCUUUCUAGAGAGAGAGAGGGAGAGGUUUUGGUGUGGGAGAGUGAGAGAAAUGAGAGAAAGAGAGAAAGGGUCCUCUCUAUACACUCUCAUAAGUGCCAUUUUGCACUUAAGCCCCUCCACAAUGCUUCCCUCGCAACAGCCCAAACUGGGCAUUUUCGGGCUUCGGGGACCGGUCCUUGCGAUGAGAGACCGGUCCCUGAGAGACCGGUCCUUGGCUGAGAGACCGGUCCCCGAAGGUCCAGAAAUCAGCCUUCAAGGACUUAGCCAAAUUUUCCGCUUUUUCAUCGUUUUAGCUCCGUUUUCGCUCGUUUUUGCUCGUUUGACCUCCGAUUCAUUUCAAAUCGAACCGAGACUCUCCAAACAUGUUUUCGAACAUAUUUUCAUCAUCUUUUCACCCACGCUAAUGCCGGAUUUAACUCACGGUUCAACAUAGCCUUUCGGCUCCGUUUUCGCGCCCUAUGCGCACCGAAGCACCCGAAUGCUCCCGAACUUCGCCGGGACGAUUCCAAUGGCUUUCUAAGCUAACUUACAUCGUAACUUCGUGAAUUUAGAAGUUCGGUAUAUUACAUUCUCCACCCCUUAAAAGAAUUUCGUCCGCGAAAUUCAAACACAACUCGAUUCAGCUCCUCGAGCAAUUGAGGGCACCAAUACACUUUCCACUUCGGAAUGGCUUUACACUCCUUGGAACUAUCCAAAAGGACUACCACGGAGUUCAUGAUACUAAAUGCAUCCAAAUUUGCAAGGCGCAUCUCACAAAGUGCAUUAGGGUAUCCAUCACUCUUGGUGGCGGCGCAAGUCGAAACUCAACGACUCCACGCGCUCCAAUACCACUUGUCACUUGGCAUACAAGAACUCUUCUUCGCAUUUACUUUCCCCUCAGGGAAUACACUCCGAUUCUAUCUCCAACAUUGCUUAAAAGCAACAUCACUAGUGCAUCGCUUCACCGCGAGUGCUUUAAUUCCGCACCGAUCUUUAGCUCUAACAUGAGCCACCUCGGCACAUCCCAAAUCCAAUCCUCAAACUCCACGUGGCUUCUCACAAGUUCAAGGUCUCACCACGAGCACUUCAUCUUCUGAUACCAUAUGCCACGGCCAACGUCUUAUUACUUUCGCAAAGAGCUCACAUGAACACGUUAUUUGUGAACUCAAAUCAAACUCCCCGAUAAGGCUAUUCGCCAAAUCACUUUCCUCGACUUUCCACAGGUGGGCCAAAGGCCACCCAUACUACGUAGGCCUACAGCCUAAACCCGUCUCAAUACUCGACGUCCCUCGCUCGCAAGCGUAGACCCAAUCAUCGUUGGGGCGAAAUUCUCACUGGGAAAUUCGCACACACUCCAACCAGGAGCAACUAAAAUCCCAAACCGUUACAGAUUCCCGGGUUGGGUCACACUCGCACUCUCAGUAUACUAUCAAUCGCACUAUACGCUCUAUAGCACAAUACGUACCACUAUCAGCUCCUUUGCACCUAGUGCGAGCCACCAGCCCCACGAGUGAUCCGUGGCACGCUUCACACCUAGCAAUGCUCAGGUGCUACUGCCAACACACUCAUCCGGCUGAACUAAAUCCGCACUCCACGAGUAACUAUACUCGAGCGCUAUAUGCGCCUCUAUAGCAUUCCAACUAUGUCAAGCAUCAGGCAACUUUGCCUAUGCACACCGGCCACACGAGCACGACUCACCCACCUCAAUUCGAGAUACUACUAGGCCAACGCGCCCGUAUUUGGCAGCCAAUCGCUCUACCGGAGCAACAUCUAGAACACUCAAACCAUUCGAGUGUCCACAAGUGUCAUGACACAACUCUUGCAAUCAAUUACAUACAUUGCUCUGCAAGUUGGUUCGUCAUUUCCACCUCUACUACAAGUCUCAUCAUUAGACCAUCACUAGCAACUCGCUAGUACCAUCCAGUUCUCUACCUGCACCGGCAGGUGCAACGCUCUCACCACAUAAGCGUGCCCGGGUACUUACAUUUAUCCGCGCACUUGGAUCCUACUAUGCUACUACAUAAAUAGUAGUAAUUAAUUACAUGCUCAAUGCAUGCAAUGCACCAACUUUACAUUAUGCAGAAACACAUGACUGCAUUAAUGGCUCAUACCUGCCAUGACGUUGUCAGCAGCAGGUUCCAUAUCCCGGACAUAGUUCACGAUAGGGAGAAUUCCCGUUCGUACUCUCUAACUGAGCGGUCUCCUUGCCGCAGCUUCCUGAACUUGUCCUGAAGCUUUCUCUUUUCACUGUCGGGGGAAGUCAGUAGAAGAUACCAAUCCCCGAAACUCAUCCCAUGCCAUGGAGGAAUACUAGGUGAUCGGUUCCGCCGAAUGCCUUUCCACCACGCCUUAGCCGACUGUUUCAAACAAUACACGACUAGGGGUACCCUGUCCAGCUCCAAGGUAGACAGCUCCUCGAAAAGCGUUUCCACAGAGUCAAUCCACGUAUCCACAAUCCACGAAUCGACAUUCUCUCCAUCGAAGAUAGGUGGAUCAAACUUUAUGAAGGUCAUGAGGGCUGCCAAAGCCCGCUCUUUCUCAUUCUUUUCCUUUCCUUCCUCUCUCUUUCUUUGUCCUCUAGAGAGAGAAAGAGAAGUGAGAGAGUGUGAGGGUGAGGAUGAGAAAAUAUCUCAUUCACCCAUCAUACUCAGCCUAUUCAUUGCAAAAUUGCAACUAAGUCUCUCAACUUUUAUUUCACAACACUGCCCAAACUGGGCAGACUUCGGGCUCUGAGACCGGUCUCCCCGACCAUGGGACCGGUUCCUGAGAGCUCUCCCCGCGGCAGCAGAGCUCGUGCGCAAUGCAACCGCUCUCCCCUGGUGAGACCGGUCUCUCGGGGACCGGUCUGUCCCCUUGGGACCGGUUCCCGAGAGCUGCGUUUCCAAGACUUAGCCAAAUCUUCAGUUCCCAGACUCCACACGCGCUCGGGGACCGGUCUCCCCGACUUGGGACCGGUCCCUGAGAGCUGAAAACCUGCAGCUUUGCAGAUUUUCAAUUCCAACGCUCUCGAAGACCUCUCCGAGGCACUUUUACUCAUUUUGACGUCCUCGGCCUCUCCGAAGCACACCCAUUUCAUACUUUGGUCACUUUGACUAAAGUUCGAUAUUUCGACCACCGAGUUUCGAUAUAUUACAUCUACAAUUUUUUUUUUGGAGUCUCUUAAUUCCCUCCCCUUGGUGCAUAGCAGCCUCUUGCGGCCGCUGCACCACAUCAGCUUGUUGCCUCACCACACCCACAAGCGUGGCCAACUGUUCGCGAAGUUCCAAGUCUCCGCGCGCCUCGGAUUGCUCAGGGACAUCACUUGUCCCACCCCGCGUCGAUCUAAACGAAGAUCGCCUACGCGGUGCCAUCGUUACCUAGAACAUGACAACUCAACUAACUCUCAACCUUCUAGGUCGAGUAUGAAACAAUUGACACCAACUCAAAUCGGGCGAAAGUCAUACAAGGGCAUCUAUUCUCAUCACUCGGUUUCAUGUUGUACGCGUCCAACAUGAACACCCUCGGUUGAGAAUAGACAACACCUUGGAUCUACCUCUAAUCUCCUUUUUAGAGGUUUACAACACAACCCAAUCCCUUAACCUUUCGCCAAAAGUCAUAAGUCCUCGUCUCUCACGAGCCUUAAUCUCCUAUGGUUUACUAUCCUAGGGUCUCCUAGGUUCAUCUAAACCACUUUUCCAUUCUCUACUUUAUGCUCUGAUACCAUCUUAUCUGUCACGCCCCGAGCCCGCCUCUUUGGUCGGAUUCGGGCACGCCAACAGACCGCCGAACGGACAGGGUUUCCCCUACACGCGGACAGAGUCUCCCCUGUACGUUCAAGGCGUCGCAAUCAAUACAAUUACAAGAGGUUCCAAACAGGAACAAUUUUCAACAACGAUUGCAUAAGGAAGGUAUCAAACAACAUAACACAUCCUAUAUUAUUACAAUCAUUCAUCUCAUCAUUUUACAUCGCAUUUUUCAUUACAUUGAUUCUCAACUUCCAAAUAUACAAUCGAUUUCUUUUCUUUUCUUUUCUUAUACCCCUAAGGAGCCGACUCAGGGUACUGCUAUCUGGUCUCUGUGGUAGGGCGCUAACUACGGAGCUACGCCCUUUCCUCGCGCCGCCGCGCCGCUCGCGUGUGAACCUGUACCCCCAAAAACAACAACACGGAGGUGAGACUAUUGUCCAUAGUCGUCAGUGGGUACAGCCACCCAAGGGAAGAGCUCAACCCACCAGGUCCAAAGGAGGCACUGCAACAUGUUAGUCCAACAGAUAUAUACAUAUAACAUCAUGCAAUACAUGUUCAUGCCUCACAAAUAUGCAAAUUAUGCAACUCUUAGUCAUUCUUUACCAUUAGCCUUUCUUUAGAAUAUGCAAUUCUUUAUCAUUAGCCAUUCUUUAUUCUUUAUUCUUUGCUAAGGGCACUCGCACCUUAGGCCCAUUAUACACAUUUGCCAUUCUUUAUAACAUUAACAAACGUUUCUCAAUUGUCAUUCUUACUCAAUUGUCAUUCUUUCACAGGGUUACCUUUACCCUAGCCAGCUAUGCCACUCGACUCGGUCUUGAGUCAAUUCAUAAUGAAUACAAGAUCCACUUUCCAAUCCAUGAUUCCUUUUUGUUCUUUGUUCUUUAAUCUCACGGCUAACCCGGGGGUUUCGCCACAUUAACUUGCUUCACAUUAAGUCCAUCAUCGCAGGAACUCACCAGCUAGGACCGUCCUUCGGGUUUACUCCAACCCGUGAUGCAAAACUCCGGAGCGCAUCGCCCGAGGGGGAGCGACCGCCCUCGAGCACGGAACUCAUAGCAAGUAUGAUCAUAUCCUUAACUCAAAGGAUUUGUAGUUGAAUCAUGGCUUUACACUAACUUUAGUGUUCUUUACAUCACAUUAGUUGCUAACUCUAGCAAUCAUUGUUCUUUACACCCAACUUGUCAAUUACUCUAGUAAUUGUCAUUCUUGAUACCACACUUGUUCUUUUGUUGCCUCACACUAACUCUAGUGUGCUUCAUGUCACAUUGGUUGCUAACUCUAGCCAUUAUCAUCGUUCUUUACACUUUGCUUGUUCUUUAUGCCACAUUACUUUACAUCGCCUCAAGCCAUUAUCAUUAUUCUUUACAUCACAUUGCUUUGCCUUGUCUCAAGCCAUUAUCAUUAGGUUCUCACAUUACAUCUCCUGCAUACACAUAGAUUAUUUAGAUUCUUAAUCAUUCUAAUAAGCACGUGUACUCACAUCAUGCAACAUUACAUUAUUAUCAUCACAUUGUUUUACAUUAUCUUUAGCCAUUAUCAUUAUUCUUUACAUCACAUUUAUUCUUUGUUGUGCCACACUAACUCUAGUGUCCACUUUACCAUUUCGAAUGCCACUCGAUCUAUGUUCAACAUGCAUAUAUUUUGUCAUCCAUUGGUAGUCAUUACUUAGCAUUUUAUGUAUUCGUUAACAUUUACUACAUGCAUUCUCGGUUAGUACAAAUCUCAUACUUUCAUUUGACAUCUAUUUAGCAUUUCUAUAAUAUGCACAUGUAAAUUAACAUCAACUCAUGCAUUCAUUUGGCAUCUAUCUUUAUCAUGCAUUCUUAAAUAGCAUACUUUAUCAUGCAUUCUCAAAUAGCAUAUUUUAUCAUGCAUCAAUAGUAAACAUACUACACUUUGGCAUGGAAAGCGACCUAAUCGCUUCGGUGAGCACAACCCACCUCAAAACGCUUUCUGAUUGCUUGUCGACACUUGCAAUCGGCCUCCCGCGGCACUCGUAGCCCGGUUUGGCCCGAACUCUUGCGCGACCACCCGAACGACCACCAAUUCGCGAUCCGUCUAUUCGGGAGUUUAUUCCCCGACACCACGAUGCUCCCGAUCCAUUCUCAUGAUUUUUGGAGGCUUAUCCCGCGUGCUGCGGCUAUCUGUACCAAAACAGAUUGUUUCGUCAAUAACUUCGCGUACACUCGUCGGAUUGUCGAACCGAGCGCACCAACGCGUUCGUUUGGUCCCCAAUUAGGUUUAUAGAGGGUCAAUUGAGAUCAAACCCAACUAUUUACAAAAACCCUCUUUAGGAGCCCUAAUAUGCAACUAUUGCAAAAUCCACCAUUUCAUCUCAUGAAUCAAGCAUAAACCAUCUAUUUAGCAUGCUAGGAUUCCAUUAAAAUCAUCUUUAGAGUAUAAGAACUUAACCCUAAAGAUCUACCAUUAGAGAGCAUAAGGCUUACCUCUCUAAGCUUGCUCCCAUGGCUCAAGGAAGGAGAUGAAGAUGAAGCUCCAUCUUCUUGGCCUCUUCUCCUUCAUCUUCUUCUUUUUCUUCUCUUUCUUUCUCUUCUUCUCCUUUUCUUUCUAGAGAGAGAGAGGGAGAGGUUUUGGUGUGGGAGAGUGAGAGAAAUGAGAGAAAGAGAGAAAGGGUCCUCUCUAUACACUCUCAUAAGUGCCAUUUUGCACUUAAGCCCCUCCACAAUGCUUCCCUCGCAACAGCCCAAACUGGGCAUUUUCGGGCUUCGGGGACCGGUCCUUGCGAUGAGAGACCGGUCCCUGAGAGACCGGUCCUUGGCUGAGAGACCGGUCCCCGAAGGUCCAGAAAUCAGCCUUCAAGGACUUAGCCAAAUUUUCAGCUUUUUCACCGUUUUAGCUCCGUUUUCGCUCGUUUUUGCUCGUUUGACCUCCGAUUCAUUUCAAAUCGAACCGAGACUCUCCAAACAUGUUUUCGAACAUAUUUUCAUCAUCUUUUCACCCACGCUAAUGCCGGAUUUAACUCACGGUUCAACAUAGCCUUUCGGCUCCGUUUUCGCGCCCUAUGCGCACCGAAGCACCCGAAUGCUCCCGAACUUCGCCGGGACGAUUCCAAUGGCUUUCUAAGCUAACUUACAUCGUAACUUCGUGAAUUUAGAAGUUCGGUAUAUUACAUAUCCGUUUUCACUACAUUCGAGACAUGAUUAAAUGAGAGGAGGUCGUUCUUAGAUAUAUCUCUACUACUAGGAUGGUGGUCGAUCUAUUGACCAAGCCGAUAGCCAGAGAUAUGUUCCCGACCCAAGUUAGGAGUUUCGGUCUUCACAGGUUUUGAUGGACUUUAUUUUGUAUCUUACGCUUUCUUAAUGAAAAUAUAUUUUUCUUCUUUUAAUGUGAUUGCGUAAUUGAUACUAGUAGGCACAUAUUCGAUAAGUCACCACGCUUAGAUCAGCCCGCUCACACGGGCGAUCGCCCUGACACCUAGGUGGUGAGCAGGAUGAGACUAGAUGAUCAUAUUAAAUUUGAGUAGUUGUAAUAUGAUUGCGUUGUUCAUAUACGUUAAUGAAUAAAGUGUUGACAUAAUUUAAAAGUCGCCUUAAUUAGCUUAAAAUGAGACUCUAAAGAGUUCGACAUGAAAGUUUUUCUGUGAAAUUUGAUCUCGAGCCUGUAUAGUAGCUGAACCUAAGUGCUCAGGUUAGAGAGAUGACUUGAGUUAUGUGAUGGUUAGAUACCUUAGUGGUACUAAGACUAAGGUUCAUAUGGCGGUUUUAGAGCAUGACAUGACCCAUUGAGUGGGAGCUCCGCCGUAGCAUACAUAUCAUACUAUAUGUGCUUGUUGACCAGUCAGUAGAGUGACAUAAGUUCUUCCCUCUAUGUCACUGUGUGAGCACUAACCUUUUUAUGCCCUCGACUUAGAACUACGUUAUGAAAUGGAGGUCCAAAGUAACUAACCUAGUGUGUAUCUCAGGGUCAUAAGAAAAUAUGAUCUCACGGAGCAUGUCUAGUAAAGUGUUUGAAUCGAUACAGAUUAACAUGAGGGGUUGAGGAAGAUAUUUUGAUAACACACCACGUAAGUCUUGUGACUCAUUGCCCGGGCGGUUAUCUCGGUUGUGUUACUUGAGAUAAUCAUGAGUACAAAAAAUAACUAUUGGGUCGAGCCCUCUCAUUACAGGAGAGGGACUUUGUGAUGUUUGAUCCGGUGUGUGUUGAAACGUCUAGGGUAUAGGCGAAUUAAGUCAGUGAUGUGCUAUAUUAGUUAGGUGGUGACUUAAUAUAGCGCUCUUGCAUGUGUUACUUUCGUCAGGUCGCACGCUCUAUUACCCAUAUGAAGAGAAGAAUGAGUGAGAGAGAAUUGGCCAAUGUGGCUGUAAGAAAGUGGAUCCUCGUCGUAUUAAACCACUUUUGGUCAAAAAGACCAAAGCGUGGCGAGAAGAAUGUUUGGACAUGGUCCAUUUAACAUUCCAACUAUGUUGGAAGGGUUAAAGUUGAAUUUAAAGAGAGAUUAAAAGGUUUUAGCAUUUAUCGGAGUGAAACAAUGCAAAACUGCAGUCUGGAGCAUUGUUAACCGGCGAAGCUUAGAAGAGUAUCGGUACCAGGCUGGCACCCGAGAGAAGCAGCUCUCGGGUUUGCCUCUGUUAAGGCUGUUAAUCGGUGACUGUCCUGGUGCGUACCGGUACCCCGCUGCGACCCGAGAAACAGCAGCUCUUGGGUUGGGCUGUUGAACAGGGGGCGUACCGGUGACGCCAACCCGCGUAUCGGUACGCAGUGCCCGAAACAGCAGGUUAAGUCUACUGCAAAUAAAAGAAAAUGAAAGGCUUUGUUGCAAUUGUAACAGCCUAUAUAAGGUCCCACACCCCUUUUUUCUCUCUCACAGCCAGAAAUACCCUCUCUUCUCUCAUUUCUCUCCCUCUCUCUCUCUAGGAGCUCUUCCCCAAGGUGAAAGAAAGAGAUUGGAGGAGAUCUAGAGGAGAUUUUUGGAGCUUUUGGAGGAUUUAGAGCUCUCCUACAAGGUGGAGCUUGUUGAGUUUAUAGGCUAAGGUGAGGUUUCUUGUAAGAAUUAGGCUAGGGCUUGGUUUUAUGCCUUAAAUCUUUGGUUUUGAUAUUCUUACAUGGAAAGGAACCUCGUAGAGACCAAGAAAUCUCAUGAACUCUAUGUUUGUUCAUAGUGCUCUCAUGGUGGAUUUCUAGGGUUAGGUUUAUAUACUCUAGAAAUGAUUUUAAUGGAACCCUGGGAUGCUAAAUAGAUGAAUAUUGUUUGAAUCACAAGGUUGUAUGAUGAUUUCUUGCAAGAUUGAGUAUUAGGAUUCAAAAAGGGGGUUUUUGCAAAUAUUAGGAUUUGAUCUAAAUUAACCCUAUACAAACCAAAUUGCUAGGUUUUCUGGCGCGUUGGUGGCUUCGGUUCGGCAAUCCGACGAGGCUACGCGAAGAUAUUGGCGAAAAGGACUGUUUUGGCUUCGUCUCCGCCUGGGAGGCCGAGGCGGCGUCCAAAAAUCACGAAAUCGGAUUCCCAGCAUCGAGGCAUCGCCUAGAGGUGGGGGGUGCUAUCCGAAGCCAUCGAGCUUCCUUCUAAGUCUAUGUUUGCAUUGUCGACCAUGUGAUUUUCAUAUUACUAUGCAUUGUAGGAUUGUGAUAGUGGUAUUACCUAUUCCUUAUAUGUUUCCAUAGUUAAUAUUGCAUUGUGAGGUGGAUACAUGAUGUAGUGGGUAUGUAAGGAUUGGGUCUGGACAUUGGAAUCCUAUAGUGCCAAAAUAAGUGAUGAAUGACAUAACGAGUGGCAUGUAAAUAGACGAAAACAUGGACGAGUGGCAUGUGGACAUAGUGUAGAUGAGACACUUGAACUUGAACAUAGGGAUGGUUGAAUUCCCGAGUUGUUGUUAGCCUUAAAGGCAGGGUGACCUCAGUGGACGAGGACUGGACCAUACUCACAUAGUCUGUUUUGAGCUUGGCGUGGUCGCUCCACCCAAGUAGUGCACUCCGGAGUUGUCACACGAGGGACAGACGUAGUUGUCCCGCAGGCGGUCUUGGGUGGGAUGUUGCGGCGGAAGCUCCUCACCUAUGGGAGAUUUGAGAUGUGAGUCGGGGCAAACCUUCGGGUCAGCCAAGUGAUUGGGUGAACAUAUGAAUGGCAAGUUUGUUGACAUAGUGGCAUGAUAGUUGACAUCAUUACGAUAUAUUUCAUGCAUUCAUAUUGCUUGAAGCAUAGUAGAAUAAUUGUAGAAUUUAUACUAUGUAGCAGUUCUUUAUCAUAUCUAUCUAUCUAUCUAUCUACUUAUGCUUGCUUAGACCUAGUGUGAGGAUCGGCAGAGUCGGCGGCCGAACCCACUGGGAACUAUGGACAAUAGUUCUCACCCUAUGUGGUUUUGGGGUACAGGUACUUGCGAGAGCGGACCGACAGAUGAUCGUGGUAAGGGCUUAGUGCCCUAGUAGCUUGCAGCUUUCCCUUUUUGCAUUAAUGUACCGUCGUGUACAUGGAUGUAUCUAGAUGUAUGGUUGGAGAGUUACUUAUGUAUUUUGAAGAUGAAUAUGUAAACCCUUAUGUAUACAUUUUGGGAGGUGAAACUGUAAUAGUUAGAACUCUUUCUCUUUGCUCUCUUGUAUACUCUUGUAUGACUACUCGCUUGUAUGUCUACUUGCUUAGAUUGUGUAUUUUGUUUAAGUUUUUCCUGGGCAAACUGUAUGUACAUGAUCUUGUUGUUUAGCCUUGGGCGGGCAGGGGAGGCUCUGCCCGUUCAGCGUUUGUUUGAUGAGCCCGAACCGACCAAAAUGGCGGUUGUGGGGCGUGACAUAUAAAGUGGUAUCAGAGCAAGUAAGAGCAAGUAAAGAGAGAUGUCUAAGACGGACCUAGGAGACCCUAGGAUGGUAAACUUAAGGCUAUAGGUACGUGAGUGGAAUGUGGGCCUAUGCCGGUGGCGGAAGUGGAUUCGAUUGGAUUAAAGUUGUAGUAUGUUUCUAGUAGUUGCUAGAGACGAAUUCGAGUGGUAUUAGUUCUCGACGCGAGGUGGUUAUGUUGGCGGCCGACAACAUGACGCUAAGAGUUUAGAAUGAGUACACUUGGGUGCUUCCGCCUAAUUUGCAACGUUAUGUCGUUUUGUUUCGUAGUCGCAAAGAAAUUGACAGGUUAAGGUGAUUAACCAAAAUGUUGCGUUUCAGGAGCUAUGGCACCUAGAGGACGCCCCCGGACGCGAUCUGCUCCGGCACCACCUUCCGAGGUGCCCGAGUAGUCUGGAUCCGAUGAAGUGCGGGAACUGCGGGCACAGAUUGCUACAAUGGUCGGCGCGAUGCAGCGCCAAGAGGAUCGAAUAGCAAGGCUGCAGGAGCUUGUAGCGCAGCAGGUGUAUGUUGAGCAACCCGCGCCUCCUGUCGUUGCGCCUGUCGUGACUGAGGGUGUGGCCACGGCGGCCGUGCUGGUUGCAGUGAGGGCCACGCCGGUGAUGGUAGCUACGGGUUCGGGAACUUCAAAUCCCGAUGGUGCGGCGUUGGAAGCGGAGAGGGAGCACACACUUGAUGCCCUCGUGACAUUCCGAAAGUUUGAUCCACCGGUCUUCGACGGGGAGAAGGUCGAGCCAUGGAUGGUCGAGUCGUGGGUUGACUCGAUGGAGACUCUAUUCGAAGAUCUCUAUACGUUGGAAAAGGACAAAGUCCACCUCACUACUCAUUACUUGGAGCGAACGACGAAGGUGUGGUGGAAGCGAGUCAAGCGGGACCGGUCUUCUGACAUUCCGCCACUGACGUGGGAGGAGUUUUCGGGGUUCCUUAUUAGUUAAGAAACGUAUCGCCUAGUGGAUAUCUAUUGUGGAUAUCCUAAUUCUAAUCUCUAUGUGAGAUUCAGGAUAUUUUAAGGGGUUCCAUUAUUCUAUAAAUACGUCCCUUUUUCUCUCUCGUAUCAUACGAUCUAAUUCGAUCUAAGAGAAUCCACAAUUAAUCUUCUUUCUUUUCUAAGAUUUCCACCUACGUUCGUGGGGUUUUGGAGUGUGAACAUAGAAAAGAACUCUGGUAGCCUUCUUCGAUUGACAUCCGUGUCAUCCUAUUUGCACCCCAUUUAUGUCCGACGCAUCUAAUCCGUGACACGAAGCAUAGGCAUCGAGACCAGGGCGAUCCAAGCAGGCUAGUAAAACAAGCAAUUCGAUUCCGGUUCCUGAAUAUGUUGGCUAUCCAGUUCGUAAGUUUCUGCUGCCCUCGAAUUUCCUACAAGAUAUAAUGUAACGACCCAGCCCACUAGUAACAAUAACUCGUUGGGCCCAACAACCGGCCCAAAAUGCUUAAGCCCAGUUAUUAUUACUAGUGUCUAAGUCUCUUAUAAACCCAAUGACAACCCCAUUCCCAUCCGAUGUGGGACUAUUGGGGUGUCACAGACUCCCCCGGUUAAGGCCCUGACGUCCUCGUCAGUCCAANNNNNNNNNNNNNNNNNNNNNNNNNNNNNNNNNNNNNNNNNNNNNNNNNNNNNNNNNNNNNNNNNNNNNNNNNNNNNNNNNNNNNNNNNNNNNNNNNNNNCUGGUGGUAACCUGACUGGAGAUCAAUCUUCGAGAAGACAUAAGAUCCCUGCAGCUGAUCAAACAAAUCAUCAAUGCGCGGCAAGGGAUACUUAUUCUUGAUGGUCACUUUAUUCAGCUCCCGGUAAUCCAAAUACAGCCUAAGUGAACCAUCCUUCUUCUUAACAAAUAACACCGGCGCUCCCUAAGGCGAAACACUGGGUCUCACAAACCCUCUAUCCAUCAAGUCCUGAAGCUGUGCCUUAGCUCUAUCAGCUCUGCCGGCGCCAUCCGAUAAGGUACCUUUGAGAUUGGUGCAGUUCCAGGAACUACAUCAAUCACAAACUCAAUCUCCCUCUCCGGCAGCAACGUCGUCAACUCAGGGAGAAACACAUCCGAAAACUCGCGGACUACUGGGAUGUCCUCAAGUCCCGGCGCCGCCGUAGGUACCUUCACAACUGUCGCUAGGAAAGCGAUACACCCACUGCUCAGCAUCUGUCGAGCCCUCGCCGAAGAUAUCCAAAUAGCAAACAGCGUGCUCCUACAGCCUCUAAAAGUGAACUCCUCCUGGCCUGGCUCGCGGAAUGUCACCGUCCUCGCUCCACAGUCGAUCGUAGCAUAGUACCGCACCAGCCAAUCCAUACCGAGCACAACGUCGAAGUCCUGCAGCUACCCUAAAAUCAACAAGUCUACGGGCAUGAUCCACAAAUCCAACUGCACUGGACACGACCAACAACACCCCAUGACCUGCAAGACAUGGUCUGGGAUCUGCACCUCUCGUGCCUGAGACAAUGCUCCUAACUCUAGACCAUGUAACUGUGCAAAUGCUCGGCUAACAAAGGAAUGCGAUGCACCGGUAUCAAAAAGAGCACGUGUAACAUACCGAACUUCUAAAAUCAUGAAGUCACGGUGUACAUUUAGAUGGUUCCGGUAAGGUUGCGGUGGAAUGUAACGUACCGGAUUUUAAAUAGAAAAGUGAAAAUAAAUAAAAAUAGUAUGAGAUACUAUUUUAUCGGAUUUAGAGAAGCGAAAUAUAGGUUGGGAAUGACCUGUGCUGAAAUCGGAGCGAAAACAGAAGAUUUAGAAUUUUCUGGGAGAAACGGGGCAGAUAAAUUAGCAGAAAAUGCACAGUCUCAGAAAAUUAUGAAAAUUGGCGGGGAUGCCAGAAAUAUUUUU
rnacentral:lncRNA from 1 species